GAGAAUUUCGGACUCUGUGUGCAGUGACCGUAAGAGUGAGUGUAAAAAGUGUCUCCAGUGCGGGAGCUCUGAGGUUCGGGUCAUUGGGGCUAGUUUCGUUACUCAGAUCUAUUAAUAUCGGCUGGUUUGUCCGUCAGUCAUGAAAGUCCAGCAGCAGCUGCAGAAACUCAAGAACAGUGUCUUCAGGUUCCAGGAGCAGCUGAUGGAUGUCUCCAGACGGGGACCACAACACUGACCCUUUACCACAGAACUAUUAGAGACCAUGACCGAUACUGAGAACUCCAUUAAUGCUUUCAAAGACACAACAUCAGAGAAAGUCUGGUGUUUCUGACUCUGCUUCACAUCAGCGGGAUUCGUCCAGAGCUCCCUCGGGGACCGGACCUGUGCUUCAGAGCUCCCUCGGCUACAGAACAAACACAAACAUGUGUCUUCACAUGAGGACAUACUCACACGCCAGCUCAGUCUGUGCACCACGAUGAACAUAUUUUCAGAAGAGGCUGGUUAAACACGGAAUGUCUGAAUGAUUGAUAUCCUUC
ensembl:lncRNA